AAUUCCACAAUGAGGAAUUAAAACUAGGUGUUCAUGGAGAACACAGAAGAAUGUCAGCCACCUUUAACUAGACUUGAAUACAAAUAAAAUUUAAGAUUUUACAUUUGAGAUGCUGAAGAGUCCCAAUGUGAUAACUGUCUUCAAUCAAUUAUAAGGACACUAGUACAAGAAAAUAUACAUCCUGGCUUAAAUUAGUGUAGAGCAAGAAGAGGACAUAGAAAUUGGCCCACUUAAAAGAAAAAUGCAGAUUCAAUAUUAUAAAGGGAUUUCUGAGAGCUCCAUCAUGGAACUGAGAAAGCCUACAUGAAGCCUGGAGUUCCAUUUAGAGAAGGGGAAAUUGGGAGACAGAAACACACACAGACAAAAGAUAGUCAUGUGAAGAUGGAGGAGUAUCAGGUGAUACAUCUACAAGUGGAGGAAUACCAAGGACUGCAGGCAAUCCAUCAGAAACUGGAAAAGG